UACGAAGGGGGCGAGCGUUGUUCGGAUUUACUGGGCGUAAAGGGCGCGCAGGCGGGUACUCAUUUUGUCAGGCGUGAAAGCCCCGGGCUUAACCUGGGAACGUGCGUUUGAUACGGAUGGGCUAGAGUUCGGGAGAGGAGAGUGGAAUUCCCAGUGUAGAGGUGAAAUUCGUAGAUAUUAGGAGGAACACCAGUUGCGAAGGCGCUACCUGGUCAAAUACUGACGCUGAGGCGACGAAGCGUGGGAGCAAACAGGAAUUGAGAUACC
rnacentral:rRNA from 1 species